UGGUGUUUCUUGCCAGGAGGGAUUAAAAACAGCCCAUGUGAUGUUGCUGUGUGUGUUUGCUGGUUAUCAAAGAUUUUUGUUUUUCUUGGAGGUGUGAUUUGCUUGCCUUGCUUGCCUGCUGUAUUUUAAUCCCUGCUGGUCUCUUUUUUCUUUUGCUACAACAGCUCUCAGGUCUCUUUGGGUCUCCAAAUAUGAGGUCUCUGUCAGCCAACAGGAGCAAACAAUACAGACAAACUUAUCUGGAAGAACAACUUGGGGAUGAACGCUAAGUUUAGAGUAAUUGCCAGGCUUAAACCUCAGGCUUCCAGAAGGAACCGCACACAUAAUGUCAAUCAUCAAACGAUUUGUAUGUACGUUUCUUCUUCUCUUUUC